GCUGGAGGCGCCGCACACGCGUAAUCCAGAAACUCAAAAUUGCAGGGUUCAGAGAUCUUCUGGAUAGCUGAACACGUGGAGGUUCCUGGACGGUGUUGCAUCCAUGGAGGGCAUGGAAGCUCCGAGCCCAUUCCCCAUACCUUGCCCUACACAUCUCUGCAUCUGUAUCCUUUGUAACAUCCUUUAUAAUAAACUGGUAAACGUUUCUCUGAGCUCUGCGAACCACUCUAGCAAAUUAGUUGAACUCAAAAGAGGGGGUUGUGGGAACCUCAUCUUGAAGCCAGUAGGCCAGAAGCUCCAGAGGCCUGGAGUUGGAACUGGUGUCUGAAUGGGGGACAGAAUGGUGGACUGAGCCCUCAGCCUGUGGGAUCUGACACUAUCUCCAGGUAGAUAGUGCCAGAAUUGAAUUUUGGAGGGCACCCAGCUGGUGUCAGCUGCAGAAUUGCUUGCCUGGUGUGUGGGGGAAAGCCCCCACGCAUUCGGUCACAGCCAUCUUCUGUGCUGUUGUCGAGUGAGAGAAUAGAAAAAGCAUUUUGAAGGCCGGGCGCGGUGGCUCAUGCCUGUAAUCUCAGCACUUUGGG
rnacentral:lncRNA from 1 species